rnacentral:rRNA from 1 species
CGCCUGUUUAACAAAAACAUCGUAAAUAAUAUUUAUAAUACCUGCUCAGUGAAUAUUUAAACAGCCGCGUUAGUGUUAAGGUAGCAUAGUAAUUAGUUUCUUAAUUGGGAAAUGGAAUGAAUGGUUUACUAAAAUAUGAUAUUUAUUCUAAUUUGCGAAAUUUUAAUCUGAGUGAAAAUACUCAGAAGAUAUAUUUAGACGAGAAGACCUAUGAAGCUGGUAGACUUCCAAUGUAAUUAUACGAUAGUUCAUGAGUUUAUUUUUUGGGGUAAAAUUUAAUAAUAGUAUUAAUAUUGGCUUACUAAAUAAUAUCCUCUUGGAAUUAUGAAAAAGCUCCUCUAGGGAUAACAAGCAUUAUGCUUAAAAGAGUUCUUAUCAGAAUAAGCGUUUGUGACCUCGAUGUUGAAU